rnacentral:rRNA from 1 species
AAACAUCGCCUCUUGAAAAAUUAUAAGAGGUCCAGCCUGCCCACUGAUAAAUUUAACGGCCGCGGUAUCCUGACCGUGCAAAGGUAGCACAAUCACUUGUUCUCUAAAUAAGGACUAGUAUGAAUGGCGUCACGAGGACUUACCUGUCUCCCUCUUUUAAUUAGUGAAACUGAUCUCCCCGUGCAAAAGCGGGGAUUAAACUAUAAGACGAGAAGACCCCAUGGAGCUUCAAACCAAGACUAAUUGCUUCCCAUUUUAACUUUAAAGGACAAAAAUAGACCCUUGAUUUUUGGUUGGGGCAACCGCGGAGUAAAACACACCCUCCGUAACAAAUAAACUUACCCUUUUAAAUUUAGAGCCACCUCUCUAAAUAUCAAAAAUUUGAUAUCUUUUGACCCAAUACAAAUUCAAAACAUUUUAUUUGAUCAAUGAACCAAGUUACCCUGGGGAUAACAGCGCAAUCCACUAUUAGAGUUCUUAUCAACUAGUGGGUUUACGACCUCGAUGUUGGAUCAGGGUACCCAAGUGGUGCAGCCGCUACUAACGGUUCGUUUGUUCAACGAUUAAAACCCUAC